AUACGUAGGGUGCGAGCGUUGUCCGGAAUUACUGGGCGUAAAGAGCUCGUAGGUGGUUUGUCGCGUCGUCUGUGAAAUUCCGGGGCUUAACUCCGGGCGUGCAGGCGAUACGGGCAUAACUUGAGUACUGUAGGGGAGACUGGAAUUCCUGGUGUAGCGGUGAAAUGCGCAGAUAUCAGGAGGAACACCGGUGGCGAAGGCGGGUCUCUGGGCAGUAACUGGCGCUGAGGGGCGAAAGCAUGGUUAGCGAACAGGAUUAGAUCCCCUGGUAGUCCAUGCCGUAAACGGUGGGCGCUAGGUGUAGGGGUCUUCCACGACUUCUGUGCCGUACCUAACGCAUUAAGCGCCCCGCCUGGGGAGUACGGCCGCAAGGUUGAGACUCAAAGGAAUUGGCGGGG
rnacentral:rRNA from 1 species